GUCCACGCCCUAAACGAUGCAUGCUUGGUGCGGGUGAUUCAGUUCAUCUGUGCCGGAGCUAACGCGUUAAGCAUGCCGCCUGGGUAGUACAGUCGCAAGGCUGAAACUCAAAGGAAUUGACGGGGGCCCGCACAAGCGGUGGAGCAUGUGGUUCAAUUCGACGCAACGCGAAGAACCUUACCUGGGCUCGAACGGCUGGUUAACGGCGGUGGAAACAUCGCUACUCCGCAAGGAGGUCCAGUCGAGGUGCUGCAUGGCUGUCGU
rnacentral:rRNA from 1 species